CCUACGGGAGGCAGCAGUGAGGAAUAUUGGUCAAUGGACGGAAGUCUGAACCAGCCAUGCCGCGUGCAGGAAGACGGCUCUAUGAGUUGUAAACUGCUUUUGUACAAGGGUAAACCUGAAUACGUGUAUUCAGCUGAAAGUACUGUACGAAUAAGGAUCGGCUAACUCCGUGCCAGCAGCCGCGGUAAUACGGAGGAUACAAGCGUUAUCCGGAUUUAUUGGGUGUAAAGGGUGCGUAGGCGGAUUGAUAAGUUAGAGGUGAAAUGUCCGAGCUUAACUCGGGAACUGCCUCUAAUACUGGUGGUCUAGAGAGUAGAUGCGGUAGGCGGAAUGUAUGGUGUAGCGGUGAAAUGCUUAGAGAUCAUACAGAACACCGAUUGCGAAGGCAGCUUACCAAUCUAUAUCUGACGUUGAGGCACGAAAGCGUGGGGAGCAAACAGGAUUAGAUACCCCUGUAGUC
rnacentral:rRNA from 1 species